CAUUUGCCAAGGAUGUUUUCAUUGAUCAAGAACGAAGGAAGGGGGAUCGAAAACGAUUAGAUACCGUUGUAGUCUCUUCUGUAAACUAUGCCAAUUGGGGAUCGGUACAGGAUUUUUAAUGACUGUAUCGGCACCCGAAGAGAAAUCUUUAAAUGAGGUUCGGGGGGGAGUAUGGUCGCAAGGCUG
rnacentral:rRNA from 1 species